GAGCGACAAGAGAACUGACCAAUAGAAGUGGGACAUGGCCAACGAGGCGGGAAAACGGCACAUCGAUCACCCUGGGCCAAUUAUGUUCUCCAGUCACGGAUAUUGACAGGUGAAUUCAACGAAUAAUGUGGCGAGAAUUCACAUAGGGCGUUUCACACGAAUUUAUCGGGGGACUGUUUGAGUCCUACGAUUUAGGAGGAAGAGUGACAGGGAUUCUGUCCAAUGGAACGCUAAGGUUGACGGAGAGAGGCGGGAAUAGAGGAAUGAUUGACAACUACCGUAGCUAUAACAACACGGCCAACGAGGAAGCCGCGUCCGGCUCCGUGGCUCAACCUGCGAUGGGCAAAUUCCCCCAGAGGGCGCCGCGGCGCAGACUAGCGUGCGAUUCAUUUGCAUGAUAUUAACAUACGCAAAUAGCAGAGGCCUAAAGUGGCCUGCUCGUGUCAGCAUCCUCAUUGGGAUUACAGAGCAGCUCCACGGAACGCUGCGAGGUGGCAGCUUCAUUAUACCAUGCAAUGACUGAAGUCUUUGAGCAAUUCUUCACAUGCUGGAGCAUUUUUCCUGCAAGUGGGAUCAACUGGACUUUGAGUGAGCUGGGAAGCCCCCAUUCCCCAGUUGGGGCUCUGAAUUACUGAGACUGUGCAAGGAGAAAGCUGGGGCCAUGCCCCAAGCUGAAGGAAAAACUGCCAGGGAAGCACGCUUCCCUCCUGCCUGGACCAGCCAAUAUGCCACAAUAAUGCUCUGGAGGAGAACUGAAUCUCCGUGGCCCUGUCCGUCCUUAGCUCCUCUCCCACGAUUGUUGACAAGACUGCCCAUUCGAGUCAGCCAUGGUCUUGUUUUUGAUGAUGCAGGCACCUGUUCACUGUGAACUGGACUGAGACCAAACUCGUUUCACACAGGGUCAUGAGCUGCUGGACAGUAACCAGAGUUGGUCACGUCACACCUGACCUGAGCCAGGCUUUGCAGAAGAAGCACCUGUUCCCAUCUCAGUUUUACUAUUUACAAUUCUGGGCUAUA